GGGCUACAUCAGGCUAAAAACACCUGCUCUCGUACGAUCGCCGAAAUUAAGCAUUGCUGAGCCUGGUCAGUACCUAGAUGGGUGACCGCUUGAGAAUGACAGGUGCUGUAAG